GUACAACCAAAUUAGGGUGCCGUUUUAUUUUUGCAACAUGCUAAGUUUUUUACUAGUAUUUUUUCCAUUUUUAUUUCUUCUUUAUGUUUUUCACAUAGUUCUAUAAACCAUCGUUGUAAGAAUUUCAUUCUAGCUCUUAAGGUACCUGUUAAUCCUGCUUCAUUCCAACUUUUUAUUACUUUUGAAUUAAAAGGUUCUGGUAA
rnacentral:lncRNA from 1 species